AACGCAUCUUGCGCUCCAUGGUAUUCCGUGGAGCAUGCCUGUUUGAGUGUCACGUCAACCCUCACCCUUGCGAUGUCACAGUCGCAAGAGUGGAUUUGGACCGUGCCGUAGUCGGCUCGUCCUGAAAUGCAUUAGCUCGUGCUUUUAGAGUGCGGGGCAUCGGUGUGAUAAUUAUCUGCGCCAACGCCCUUACGCCUCUUCAGUGGUGCGGCUUCUAAUCGUCCCUCGAGGACACUUUUUAAAGCUUUGGCCUCAAAUCAGGUAGGACUACCCGCUGAACUUAA
rnacentral:misc_RNA from 1 species